rnacentral:rRNA from 1 species
GACGAACGCUGGCGGCGUGCCUAACACAUGCAAGUCGAGCGAACAGACGAGGAGUUUGCUCCUUUGACGUUAGCGGCGGACGGGAGAGUAACACGUAGGUAACCUACCUAUAAGACUGGGAUAAUAACGGGAAACCGGAUCUAAUACCGGAUAAUAUUUCGCACCGCGUGGUUCGAUAGUUAAAGAUGGCUUUUCUAUCACUUAUAGAUGGACCUGCGCCGUAUUAGCUAGUGGGUAAGGUAACGGCUUACCAAGGCUACGAUGCGUAGCCGACCGGAGAGGGUGGUCGGCCACACGGGAAGUGAGACACGGUCCAGACUCCUGCGGGAAGCCGCAGUAGGGAAUCUUCCGCAAUGGGGGAGAGCCUGACAGAGCAACGCCGCGUGAGUGAUGAAGGUGUUCGGAUCGUAAAGCUCUGUUAUUAGGGGAGAACAAACGUGUAAGUAACCGUGCACGUCUUGACGGUACCGGGUCAAAAAGCCCCGGCUAACUACGUG